rnacentral:tRNA from 1 species
AAUCCGGGUGGCGGGGUGCGUCGGGCUCGGUGCGCUGGCACUGGGCCGGCCUGCCGGACGCCCGGCCGGACGGCGACGGUCGUCUCGUCGCCGAGUUG